GACUCCAAAAAGCAACAUGCAAUCUAUUGGUCAGAGAAAAGCUCAAGAUGAUAAAUACAUUUUUUCUCUAAAUGAAAGGGUUCUCGGGAAAAGAAUUCCUCCAAUUACUGAUGAAAAUAAAGGAAAUUUCCCUUGUUUCAAUCUAUUCCAAGAAGAGAAUGCAAACAUGUCUGGUCAUACCUAUUCCUCGCCAGGAUCAAAACUGAAAGCAAUUGAUCCUCUCUUACAUAUGGUCCUCGAUCAAUGUGGGCAAGAAAUAUUAGGAGGCCAAAGUAGUAUCAAGCUGAAAACUCCUUUCAUUCCUAGCAGCAAAAUGAAUAUGCAACAUGUCAUACCUCCGCAACAAGUUAUUUUUGCCACUGCAUAUGAGCAUGAAUUCUACACAAAACUUACAAGCUCCAAAACAGAAAGCAGCCCAAGAAUUUUUGAAAUUAAGAGAGUAUGGGUAGAUCAGAGAACGUUGGCGCUAUCUAUGAACCCAGGCGGUUGGAUACACCCGUGUGUAAUGGAUUGUUAUGGGAUGUUAACUACAACUGAGCAACUUCAUCGUAGAAAAGAAGGAAAAAUUGGGGAC